AUCACUUCUUGGCCUUCUGGCUAAAAUCUAUAGUAUCUGUUCUUAACAAUUUAAUAUCUGUGUUUCACUUAACAUUCUUUUGUUUUGUUUUUUUGGUACCGGGGAUCCAACUCUGGUCCUUGUGCUUGCGAGGCAGGCAGCGGAA
rnacentral:snRNA from 1 species